GAAAUGCGAUAAGUAGUGUGAAUUGCAGAAUACAGUGAAUCAUCGAAUCUUUGAACGCACAUAGCGCCCUUUGGUAUUCCAAAGAGCAUGCCUAUUCGAGCGUCAUUUGUACCCUCAAGCUUUGCUUGGUGUUGGGCGUCUUGUCUCUAGCUUUGCUGGAGAAUCGCCUUAAAGUAAUUGGCAGCCGGCCUACUGGUUUCGGAGCGCAGCACAAGUCGCACUCUCUAUCAGCAACGGUCUAGCAUCCAUUACUCCUUUUUUUCAACUUUUGACCUCGGAUCAGGUAGGGAUACCCGCUACACUUAA
rnacentral:misc_RNA from 1 species